UUAAAUCUCACCUUAGGACAUUUAUGAUACGAAGUGUUGGUAGUAAGUGAAUUGGGAUAUGAUUUGGGCCUUCUUUGAACCGUUUGAGCCUUUCAAGCCUACCUUUUUUGUCAAAUUAUCCUUAGAACCUUGAUUUGAGCCUCGGAGAAAAGGUGUUCUUUCUUUUAGCCAAUAUGUAGAAGGUAGACAAGUGGAGAUUUUUGAAUAAUUAUCCCUUGGAGGUCGGUCGAAAAAUUCUUAUAAGAUCUUUCUUCUUCUUCGAAAAAAAAAAUAUAAUAAUAAUAAUAGAUAUAUAUAUAUAUAUAUAUGUGCAUCUUCAUAUAUAUAUAUAUAUAUAUAUAUAUAUAUCUAAGUUCUUUGAUUCGAUUAUAAAAAAAAAAAGAAAAAAAAAAAAGAAGAAGAAGAAUAGAUUAUAAGGGAGAAAUAAGGACUAGUUGUUGAAUUGUGUUGAAAACUCGAGUCAUUGCCUCAAAGGCAAAAGUGUUGACGUGUGAAUUUUGGAGAAUCGAGUUUAUUAAAGUCCCUAGAGGUGAAUUCAUUGUUUCAAACGCCUAUCUUUCAAUUUUUGGCGUAAUCACCUCAAUUCAAGAAAAUUAGCCACACAUUCCCAUAUUACCUACCUCGGACCAAAGAGCCUAACAAUUGAAAGCCACAAAGCCCCAAUGAUCCCAAUAGCUUAUUGUUCAAUAUUAGUUGAGUAAAAUAAUUUGGUGAGUAUUUGGAGUCAAAUAUAUGCAUGUAAGUAUAAAUUCUUUCUAUCUUUAACUUGCAAAUAUUGGAUACUUGAAGCAAUUGUAUGAUUUGUGAUUGUUGGUAAUGGUGAGU
rnacentral:lncRNA from 1 species